UUUGUGUUGUGUAGGUCAAAAAAUAAUAGAUGAAGAUGAUAUUGAUUUUGAUGACUAAGACUUCAUUUUAAGACACAUCAAUCUUCAUCAUUUUUAAAUAAAAAGGAUAAACAUUAUGGAUUUCCAUUAUCUCAAGCAAAAACAAAGAGUUCAAAAUAUUGGUGGUAAGAACUGUCAAAAACUUGUGAUAGCUAUGAUGAAGAGUUUUAUGACAAAUUCACUCAUGGCCAAAUAUAAUAUGGCAGCUGGAAAAGGCAAAGGAUCUUUUUAGUCUAACCAAGCUAUACAACUUAUAAAAGGUAUGU